rnacentral:rRNA from 1 species
UGAAUACGAGAUGCUACGGCGUCGAAUCAGUGUAUGUCAGACUUCCAAGAAAAGCUCGCAAUGUCAUAAAUAAAUAAUGCCUGUACCAUAACCGACACAGGUGGGUAGGUAGAGUAUACUAAGGGGCGCGAGAUAACUCUCUCUAAGGAACUCGGCAAAAUAACUCCGUAACUUCGGGAGAAGGAGUGCCUUAUUUAUAAGGUUGCAAUAACAAGAUCCAAGCAACUGUUUAUCAAAAACACAGGUCUCCGCUAAGUCGUAAGACGAUGUAUGGGGGCUGACGCCUGCCCAGUGCCAGAAGGUUAAAGAAGUUGGUUAGCAUUGCGAAGCUGAUGACUGAAGCCCUGGUGAACGGCGGCCGUAACAAUAACGGUCCUAAGGUAGCGAAAUUCCUUGUCGGGUAAGUUCCGACCCGCACGAAAGGCGUAAUGAUUUGGAUACUGUCUCGGAGAGGGACUCGGUGAAAUAGACUUGUCUGUGAAGAUGCGGACUACCUGCACCAGGACAGAAAGACCCUAUGAAGCUUUACUGUAACUUGAAAUUGAAAUUGGACUUUAUUUGCGCAGUAUAGGUGGGAGGCGUUGAAAAUAAUCUCGCGGGAUUAUUGGAGCCAUCAGUGAGAUACCACUCCUAUAAUGUUAGAUUUCUAACUUUGUAUCAUUAUCUGGUCAGAGAACAGUUUCAGGCGGGCAGUUUGACUGGGGCGGUCGCCUCCUAAAUGGUAACGGAGGCGUACAAAGGUUUCCUCUGAACGGGUAGAAAUCGUAUCUAGAGUAUAAAGGCAUAAGGAAGCUUGACUGUGAGACCUACAAGUCGAGCAGGGACGAAAGUCGGUCUUAGUGAUCUGACGGUGCUGAGUGGAAAGGCCGUCACUCAACGGAUAAAAGUUACUCUAGGAUAACAGGCUGAUCUCCCCCAAGAGUUCACAUCGACGGGGAGGUUUGGCACCUCGAUGUCGGCUCAUCGCAUCCUGGGGCGGUAGUACGUCCCAAGGGUUGGGCUGUUCGCCCAUGAAAGCGGUACGCGAGCUGGGUUCAGAACGUCGUGAGACAGUUCGGUCCAUAUCCGGUGUAGGCGUUAGAAUAUUGAGAGGAGCCUUCUUUAGUACGAGAGGACCGAGAAGGACAUACCUCUGGUGUACCAGUUAUCGUGCCAACGGUAAACGCUGGGUAGCUAUGUAUGGAGUGGAUAACCGCUGAAAGCAUCUAAGUGGGAAGCCCACCUCAAGAUGAG